AUGAACGCUAGCUACAGGCUUAACACAUGCAAGUCGAGGAGCAUCAUGACGAUAGCUUGCUAUGUGAUGGCGACCGGCGCACGGGUGAGUAACGCGUAUCCAACCUUCCGCAUAGUAGGGAAUAGCCCGGCGAAAGUCGGAUUAAUGCCCUAUGUUUUCCGAUGAGGACAUCUGAGCUGGAACAAAGAUUUAUCGCUAUGCGAUGGGGAUGCGUCUGAUUAGCUUGUUGGCGGGGUAACGGCCCACCAAGGCAACGAUCAGUAGGGGUUCUGAGAGGAAGGUCCCCCACAUUGGUACUGAGACACGGACCAAACUCCUACGGGAGGCAGCAGUGAGGAAUAUUGGUCAAUGGGCGAGAGCCUGAACCAGCCAAGUAGCGUGCAGGAAUGACUGCCCUAUGGGUUGUAAACUGCUUUUAUGCGGGAAUAAAGUCAGGUACGCGUACCUGUUUGUAUGUACCGCAUGAAUAAGGACCGGCUAAUUCCGUGCCAGCAGCAGC
rnacentral:rRNA from 1 species